rnacentral:misc_RNA from 1 species
UCGCUUGGGAGUAGUUCUUUCGAGCAAAUGAUUCUAUUUGUUGGGAAUUUAAAAAAUUUAUGGUGGUAUUUUAUAAUAUUAGCUUUCUGAUAACAUAGAAGCUGUCUGUUGGAUAAUAAAUUUAGCUGCUCGAGCGCUCAACCUUUCUCAAUCUUUUUUGAAUCUGCAUAAUGAUCUAGCCUGGGAUUUUCCACAUUUAAUUUCUGAAGGUUCUAAGAGUAAGUAAUCACCGAAUUAUACUACUGUAUUAAGAAUUCAUGCUGGUGAGUUAUCAAAUUUUUGUAUUAGCACUAGAUAUUGUUAUGGGUAUGGGUUAAAUUGAUUAACAUUUUGUUGAUUCAGGACAAAUGGAGAGUGAACCAG